CUCACCUUUACCAGAAUCAUGUGUAGCUAGAAUUGUUGAACAGUGGGCUCAGUUCAGGACCAAUUUUGUUGUUCAGGUCAGUACUUGUGUCCCCUCUCCUGUUGAUACCGUUGGACAAAAAUCACAUUUGCAAGCGCCGUCUCAACAGUUUAUCUUCCCUGUACUCGAAUAUGAAAUUCUAAAGUUCCCAAUCCUGCGUUCAAAUUCAGACGCCAUUUGCUGGCAGCUCGAGUACCACCGCAGCCGCUCGGCGAAGUUCCUACUGGAUUUGAGUUGCUGUCUGCGAAGCCUGAGGAGCAAGAGUCCGUGGCAGAUUCUGAAGUAGAUGAAAAAAAGCCCUGCAAGAAAGUGGAGUUUAUACUCUCCGAAAAAGAUAUAAAGCAACUUAAGAAACAAGCUUCAGGCGCAUUUACCUCUGGCGAGUGCAUUUCAGCUCAUCUGUGGAAGCUCGUCACCAAAGCCAGAGGAUUGAGCAGGGAAGACACCACCACCAUUUUCACCGUUGUCGAUGCAAGAAAGAGGAUAAAAGAUUUUCCUUUGAACUACU
rnacentral:lncRNA from 1 species